GGGGCCAUAGCUCAGCUGGGAGAGCGCAUCGCUGGCAGCGAUGAGGUCAGGGGUUCGAUCCCCCCUUGGCUCCACCA
rnacentral:tRNA from 2 species